CAUUGAGCUACUGCUAGUUGAGAUAUAGUUGAGUUUGUAACUUUCAUACUUUAUCUGCGCUUGUACAACUAAUUUGUUCUAAAAUGCUCGAAUGGGUCUUCAUAUGGUUAAGCAAGGACACUCGCUGCAACUACAAGCAAUGAGUCUUCUUCAUAUUCAGCUCUCAGGGCUCUGUCUCCCCACCGCUCCUGCAAUCUUGCCCCACCUUUUUUACUGCCGAAGCGGACCAUCCCCACCAUCUCUCUCGCCUUCAACUUCUCUUUCUUCGUCGCACCCCACAAUUCAUUUAACACACAUUCAAAUCGCCUUCUCAUUUGUACAAAAUAUUUGGGUGCUAUCUUUUUCUUUAGUUUCAUUCUCUUAUACUGCUUACGCCUUCCACAAUCGUUCUUGUUUUUUUUAUAGAACUUAUUUUUAGUAGUAAUUGAACCAAGUUGUGAAAUUGUACAAUGUUUUAGAUUGUAGGAGUAAAAACAUCAAAUUUCUUUGGAUUAGUAGAUUUGACUCACCAUUUCUUUUUAAUGUGUUUAUUUUAUCGAAGUGUUUAGGAGAUUUGACAUGACUAAUUUCAGUUCUUAAUUGGAUUAGUAUACAUUCAUAACUAUUACUACUCUUACUAUAUUGUCAUAGAAGUAAUGAAAAAUCCGAAGGCUGUAAGUUGUUUGGCUAAGGUCUGAGUGAGGUUGGGAAAAAAGGAAAAUUUAGUAGAUAAUGAGAUAGAGGGAAAGAGGUGCUUGGCUGGGGUAUUUUUGGUAGGUAUUAGGAUGGGGUGGGUAUUGAAAAGCCUGUCUGGUGUGUGGAGAAAGGAAGAGAUCAUGGCUGUGGUUUUUGUGCGGAUAAAAGAGGGUUGUUCGUUGGGAAUCGUAAAGUAAGUGCAAGUAGGAUAGCAGCACAUUGAACAGGAGGUGCUGCGGGAGGGAGAUUUGAUAAAGGGCUUGAAAGAGAGGGAGGGCUUCUCUGUAUUGUUACUAUAGUCGUGCUUCUAGAGCUUUUCGUUGGCAAUCGAAGGAAGAAGUGCUAAAUGGGACACUAUGCUGGAGGAAGACACUUUGUUUGAAGCUUCUUGAAUACCUGAAGCUCUAGUACGUGUGUACUAUAAAGAGAAGGCAAAGAAAUGAGUGUUGAUCAAAAAGAGAAAAAGCUCUCCGCACACGUUGUCUGAGAGUAAAAGAAUGCAUUUAAAGCAAUGUAUAACAAUGUGUGAACUGCUUAGAAGUAUAUACAACAAAGUAAUAAGGAAAAGGGGUAAAGAUACACACAAUUAGCACGAUAACAGGGACUGCAGUGAAAUUUAACAAUAUUAUAGAUAUAGUUCAACAACUAUUAGAGUUGCUUUAACUCGCUGCAUUUUAGUGUAUGCUACACUCAUAUUUUUACUAAAGGCCGAAGUGCUUUUUAUUUCAUCACUCAAAGAUUAUCUGACCAUAAUCUUUUCUUUUAUUUACAAUUUAUUCAUCAUUUUCAUGAUUAGAUGGAUGCAUGGCUUGGUAAUAGGAGAAGAAUAUUGGUAUUGAAUAGAGAAGAUAUGAUAUCUUCAGCAGAUCGGAAUGCUUGGGCAGCUUAUUUUACGAGACAGGGAAUAAAAGUAGUAUUUUCGAAUGGGCAACUUGGAAUGGGCACAAUGAAGCUAGGGCGGUUGGCCAAGACAUUAGCGGCAGAUGUCAAUGUCAAACGUGGAGCAAAAGGAUUACUUCCUCGCGCGGUUGUUCUCAUUUACCUGCUACAACGGUCUGUUUAUAACUGUUGAUGUGUGACACUAGCUUUUGCAAAUCUUCAGGUAUAGAAUCACUUCAAAAGCGAUACAAAGUUUAUGCAAGCGGUCAAUGUGGUCAUAUAUUUGUUCAAAAGUUAGCACUCCAAUUGUUCAACGGAGACAGUCAUCAAGCAGAUUUCCGCAUCUUAUCAGAUUGUCGCAAAGGAAAGUUUGGUUGGACUGCUUUGGAGAGGCGUCCCAGAUAAUACUGUUGGAUGAUUGUUUCUUGGAGAAUUUCAGCUUCUCUCUUAUACAAUUUGUAUAAAUGCUAAAGGCCACCUGGUGGAGAAUUAGAAUCUCAUAAACAGAUUCGUGAUGCUUAUUGCUUUCAACUUGCGGAGUUGCGGGAAGCACAAAACUGGAGGUCCUUGAUCAUGAAUGGCAAGGAGUGUCACCAAUAUGUGUAGCCAUUUUAAUCAUGUAAUAUAUGUUUUUAUAUUACUCGUGUAACUAAAACGAUCCUUUUGGUUAACCUACAUUUGUAUCCCAAAUAAAUUUCGUAGUACUUAACUAUAUAUAUCUUUGUCAGC